UACUACACCUUUAAGACGUCGACACUGCGAAUUGGGAGUGGGCAUAUGUUCGACAGUAAAAUCACAACACUUCGCAAUGGGAAAACUGUGAAGAGGACCCUCUGCGCUGACCACUAGUUAUAGAAAAGGUUUGAAAUAAUGUGCACCAAAAGGCUAUAUUGCCAUAAUAACUAUGUCUGAAAAGUGAUACGGAAACCAUUAAAUGCAUGUGGGAUGAGGUUUGCGCAAUGGACGCACAAGGGUAUUGGUCUGCACACGUCAACACAUUUUGUGACAUGUUUACGUUUUGAUUUGCCUGUAGAAUGUUGUAUUUUAAUCGUCUUUGACAUUUGACAGAAAUGUAUUCCCGAUCAGCAGGGAAAUUGUGCUGCUAAAGUGUGAAAUAUGUUUACAGUUGAUUUUCUUCAGUUUUGUUAUCUACCACAUUCUCCAUUUUAACUCCGUCUUUAGCCAGCGACAACGAUAUUUAUCUCAUCGACACAAAAAUAUCUGCCGGUAUCCUGCAUGUUGUACUGUUGUGGAAGCAAGGACAAGGAGAAGCAGCGCCCGGACGCUGCGGAGGUGUCGAGAAUUCUAGAGACAGAGAAAAACCGAAAGAGCCAAGAAAGCGCACCUCAACCACUGGACAUGUACGGAAUAACGGCAAUGCCCGAGCUUCUACCACCCUCUGGCGUCCUCCAGCCCAGCUCAGUAAUCCCACUCGAGUCGGGUGAGGUGCCUGGUUUGUGGAAUGGAUUCAACAGGGGUGUGCUGAGUUUUGACUCCCCCCAGCGGAGACGAGGCCAACGGGCCCCGAAGUUAGGGCAAAUAGGACGGUCGAAGAGAGUGGUUAUAGAGGAUGACGACUUGGAUGAUGUCAUGAAACACAAUGGCCUCCCCAUAUCAAUCAAUAUCUCUCCUGUUGCCUGAACAACUCUGAUAGUGUCCAGACCUCAAGAGGCUGUUGUGCUCAUUUGUGAAAUUCUGAAGUGUGUACCACUUGUUUCUGGACAAUGUCCAAUUCAGGUGCCCAUUGCAAAGUUUACAAUAGUAGCAUGUGCAUCACAUGUAGUUUAGCUCUUCCUAGACACAGGAAGGUCUGUCCCAAGGAAAUAGAAGUAAAAAAAAAACAGUGCAUCUUUGCUUCAGCUGCUGUUCUGGUUUUGAAGGGGGGACUUUGUGUCCUGAGGAGAGGGGAGCAAUUAGGAUAGAUUUGGGUCUGGACAGGCUGAAACAUAAGCACACAAGAGAAGGCCCUACCCAUCAAGACCUGCCCCUUCAAAAUGAGUGGACCUGUUUGUUUGUUGUACAGUCUUUAGUGUCUAUAUUUUAAACACUCCAUCCAAGAUGUUAUUUUAAUUUGUGUCAAUCCAACCUAUAUCUAAUUGAGAAAGCAGCUACUCAUAGUGCUGGGCAGUGUUUUCACAAUAUUAUUUAUUUUACAUUAUGUACGCUUUUUUCAGUGUUUCACAUAUGUUGACAACACUUAUUUUAGUUUUUGACAGUUGACAACACUGUCUCGUUUUGGUGCAAACUAAUUGUAAAAUUUGUUGUAAAACGUGUUAGAUAAACUGAAGGCUUUAAUUUUCCAUUGUAACAUGUCACAAUCAUUGUCUUAGGAUAACAUAUGUUGUACUGUAUGUUACUUUUACCCCUGAGUUGCUAGACAAAAAGACUUCCCACUGUGAACUAUUUAUGGAACUUUAUGUAUCCCUGCAUCAAGGUGUAAUAUACACAUUUUUUACAACCAGCUUCCUGUUAUAUUCUUCACCAUAAUGCCACAUCUGUUAGAAAAGGCAUGUGGCAUUCAGAUAAGUAGCCUAACUUAUGUUAAACCCAGCUAUGAAGCAGGUCGCUACAUGGAGGAGCAACUCAAGGAAAUUGGUGUAAGACUCACCGAUCUGUGAGGAAUACAUUGUUUUGAUGUAACCAUUGUUCAGUUUGGCUCAGUCUUAUCUGUCAAGAUUAAUAGAUGUAAAGUUAUAAAAUCUACCCCUCAGAGAUAUACAAGCAGGGUUUAGCUUAAAUCAAUUCACUUGUCAAGAACGUGUUUUCUAAAUCCUCCUUGAAUCUACUUGCUAGUUUUCCAACCCUUUUCAAUUAUCAAAUCACAUUUUGUGCCAAAUACAACUUACAAGCCCUUAACCAACCAUGCGGUUUUAAGAAAAUAGUUAAAUAUUUAAAUUAUUGUACCAAGUGAAUUUUGCUCUGCCCGGAGUACCCCUGACAUAUUCCCUCAUGUGCAUUAUACCAGUAGGACUAUUAUCUCAUGAGUCUUCUCAAGUACCCUCUGUCAAGUAACCCUGUUUGGGAACCACUGUUAGAAUGUGAUCCGCUGUUGUGUAAUGAUAGUAUGCACCACCAGAUAGCGAUAAAGUCAAAGGAACAGUC